AAUUGCACGUUAUCCAUCUGUA
rnacentral:miRNA from 1 species